UUGACGGGACCGCACAAGCGGUGGAUGAUGUGGUUUAAUUCGAUGCAACGCGAAAACCUUACCACCUUUGACAUGGCAGGAAUCCUGAAGAGAUUUGGGAGUGCUCGAAAGAGAACCGUAACACAGGUGCUGCAUGGCUGUCGUCAGCUCGUGUCGUGAGAUGUUGGGUUAAGUCCCGCAACGAGCGCAACCCUUGUCAUUAGUUGCUACAUUCAGUUGGGCACUCUAAUGAGACUGCCGGUGACAAACCGGAGGAAGGUGGGGAUGACGUCAAGUCCUCAUGGCCCUUAUAGGUGGGGCUACACACGUCAUACAAUGGCCGGUACAGAGGGUAGCCAACCCGCGAGGGGGAGCCAAUCCCACAAAGCCGGUCGUAGUCCGGAUCGCAGUCUGCAACUCGACUGCGUGAAGUCGGAAUCGCUAGUAAUCGCGGAUCAGCAUGUCGCGGUGAAUACGUUCCCGGGUCUU
rnacentral:rRNA from 1 species